UACGGGGGGGGCGAAGCGUUGUUCGGAAUUACUGGGCGUAAAGGGCUCGUAGGCGGCCAACUAAGUCAGACGUGAAAUCCCCAGGCUUAACCUGGGAACUGCGUCUGAUACUGGAUGGCUUGAAUCCGGGAGAGGGAUGCGGAAUUCCAGGUGUAGCGGUGAAAUGCGUAGAUAUCUGGAGGAACACCGGUGGCGAAGGCGGCAUCCUGGACCGGCAUUGACGCUGAGGCGCGAAAGCCAGGGGAGCAAAGCGGG
rnacentral:rRNA from 1 species